rnacentral:lncRNA from 1 species
GAUGAGUGCGUUGAAAAUUGGAAUGGUCUAUAGGCCGUGCCAAGGUAUAAUAGAAAGGCCUGGAAAUAGAUGGUCUAAAGAUGUUCCUCAAUUUUACAGACGCGAAAGUAGGAUGUCAGCUUCCUUUAAAUGUGAAAAGGGCGGGGCCCCUCGCUGCGAUACACCUGUAUAAGUUGGUUGCUUCAAGCGAUGAUAACUUUAGUUCAUCUUCUACGGGAACUAAAGGGGAAGAAGAAGAAGAACUUUCGGGGAUAAACCAAGGCGGUAAUUUCCGUUGGCCUCCAAUCCCUCCUAGCCUUUGUGCUUAGAGUGAGGAGGACGGGUGUCUGAGUAAGCGGGAGGGGAGGGGGGACGUCGAAGGGCGAGUAUUAAAGCGCCGCCCCAGUUGCCCGAUAGCGCACGUUUCGCGAUACAAAUAAGAUAAGCUGGAAAUGAAUUACUGGGCGCAAUAGGCGGCCGUGCCGUUGACCACGUCGUUCUAAAACCGCCAUAGAGAGAAGGCGUUUAUGUCCAUACGUGCAAUGUUUUGUUCGCCAAUCGAUUAAUGGAGAUUAAAAGAUGGUGUUAUAAUACAUUGACCAUGAGCCUCAUUGAGCCGUAAGCUUGGUUUGGUUAUAACGGACGAACUGCGGACCCAGGCGAGGAAUGCCAAAUACAGAAGUACGGAGGGCCCUAUGCCAACCACGGAUAUCACACCAGGACGAGACAGUCCGAGUUUUGGCCAUUCCAGCACAGAAUGCAGAGUCAGACAACAGGUACCAACUAAGCUUUAUUAAGACGGAUUACAGAAAAUAGACGACGAGAAAGACUAGAAAAAGUCGAGGUCGCAAGUCGCUUGACGAGCGAUCUUCGAUUGCCUUUAUCUUUUCUUUUGCCUACAAUAGGACGCCGUCUCUUAUAUAUAUGAGCUGACAACAACAACGGCGGCGCGCGGAUCAACAUUGCGGGACGACGACAUCCAUGCAAGUAAGUGAAGCGCGCGAACACCGCGCGGGUGGUUGGGUUGGUUCGGCCUUGAGUGGAGGCUCCUGAAUAGUGGGUCCUGUUGCUUGUCGGUGGGCGGGGUGAAUUCUAAUUGGGUUCGCGAGGUCCGUCGGUUAGUAGGAAAGGGAGUGUUAUUUCGGCCUCCCACAGUUGGCUAGGCUUCAGCUAGGAGACCGUUUUGCCGAGAGCAGCUCUUGGUUGGCAAUGGUCGCGAGUGACUUAGUUGGCGUUCUUUGCCUUGAGUUCGCCGGAUUUACCCUGUUAUCCUCGCGAGUCGCCGGACAGCCCGGUGAAAGAUACCUACCAACAGAACAGAUACCCAACGUGUGAAUGCGUAAAGGACAAAGAGCAAAACAGGCCGACAGGAUGGCUUCAAGAAGUCUGCA